GACGAACGCUGGCGGCGUGCUUAACACAUGCAAGUGGAGCGACGAACCGGUCUUCGGACCGGGGCAGAGCCGCGAACGGGUGAGUAACACGUGGGUAACCCACCCCGAUGACCGGGACAACCCGAGGAAACUCGGGCUAAUACCGGAUGAGCUCUCAUCUUUUGAGAGAUGUGAGGAAAGAUAGCUUCGGCCUUCGCAUCGGGACGGGCCCGCGGCCCAUUAGCUUGUUGGUGGGGUAACGGCCUACCAAGGCGACGAUGGGUAGCUGGUCUGAGAGGACGAUCAGCCACACUGGGACUGAGACACGGCCCAGACUCCUACGGGAGGCAGCAGUGGGGAAUCUUGCACAAUGCGCGAAAGCGUGAUGCAGCAACGCCGCGUGGGGGAAGAAGG
rnacentral:rRNA from 1 species